GGUGGUAAGCUCUUCGUCCCAGCCGCCAUCUCCCGCAGCUAACACCCCUUCUCCAGCCUCGGGGAUGACCCAGGACCCUCCCUGGGCUCCCCGCCUGCCCCCCUUGGUCGGUGGCCUCAGUCCCCCUGUGCUGACAGGAGUUGCCGGGCUGCCACCUGCUAAAGAAGAGGAUGUGUCACCCAUACCUGCCGCUGGAAUUUCUCCCCGGGCAGAGACCCUUUCCUUCCAGGAGAAAUCUCUGGGCUCUGAGGGAACUGUGAGUGGUG